UACGUAGGAGGCAAGCGUUAUCCGGAAUGACUGGGCGUAAAGGGUGCGUAGGUGGUUUGACAAGUUGGUAGCGUAACUCCGGGGCUCAACCUCGGAUCUACUACCAAAACUGUUGGGCUUGAGUGCAGGAGGGGUGAAUGGAAUUCCUAGUGUAGCGGUGGAAUGCGUAGAUAUUAGGAGGAACACCAGCGGCGAAGGCGAUUCACUGGACUGUAACUGACACUGAGGCACGAAAGCGUGGGUAGCAAACAGG
rnacentral:rRNA from 1 species